UCCAUAUGAUGAUACCUUACUCAUGUGAGUCCACUCCCCCAGCCGUGCGCCUCUGCCCGGCCAACUUGUCUGAAUCUUGGGGGGAGACUCCAGCACAGCUCUCCCCCUGUAAGGGCAGACACACAGCAAAACGGUCUCUUUGGGUCGCGUGGUCGGGAGCCAUCGCCUCGCGAUAAAGGAUGGACAGGACAGGCGACACGGGCGGUUUGGGUCGGGCGGUAGGCUGGCUGGGAUUGGUGGGUGGUCAUGUGAUCAGUUCUUUAGUAAUCUGAUGUUU
rfam:Branchiostoma floridae genomic scaffold BRAFLscaffold_131, whole genome shotgun sequence.